CCCCUGAUUAAGGCAAAGGCACAGUGUCCAAGAAAAAUUUCCUGCUCUAGUAGAUUGCAAUACGGGACCAAAGCCCAAAGACUCCCAAGACAUUUCAACAGCCAGUAACCAUCUGCAUGUCCUGGGAGGAAUAGCUAACCUGAGAGCAGCUUUCCUUCUACACAAUCUCUGUUGGCCUGAGGAGCCUGCCUGGAAAUGCCUUGUAUAGGAGAAAAGGGAAUGUUUCUCUGAUCAAGUACUGGACAAGACCUGUGCAGGAAGGGAAAAGAAGGCACCUUUGUCUUGGUUUGGUUUGGCAUCAGUUUUGCUUCAAAAUGACAUCCAUGUGAAGAACUCUCCUUGAAUCAGGGUACUCAACAGCCGGCAUCAAUGACUUGGAAGGGAAAGGUACAGUCCCCUAUCAGCAAAGCCCCAAGGUCUGCAAGAUUAUAACAUGGGAGAGAAGCCAAGUACCUGUAAAUGCAAGGUGAAGUAGGUGGCAGUCACAUAAGUAUGCAGAAGCAGGAGGAGGAAUAAUAUUGCAGAGAAUCAGCUUUGAAGAAGUCAUAUGAAUAGAGACUGCAGCAGCGGUACUGUUAGAAACCAUCCAGUUGUGGAUAUAUCUAAAAUUCACAUAUCUUCAUGAAGAAACAUGCACUCAGCAUUUUUCUCCAUCUUAAUUUUAGGUUAAGCAUGAAGCCACUGCAACCAUUCAGCAGGUGCCUUAGGUUUAUAUAACUUUUCAAUGAUCAACUAUACAAUAUUACUGACUGAACCUCCUUCCACAUACCACCUAUGAACACUGGAAUUACUACUUCCAAUGUACAUUGGUGUAAAUAAAAGGAAAACCGGACUCAUUAGCUAACUUCCUUUGCAGGCUAGGACCCAUGUCAACCCCACCAGCCUACUCGUAUUAGAAUAUUAAAAUGGAGAAGCAGAAGAAAAGGGUAUAGAAUUUGCUUAUACAGAGAUGUUUGCCAAGCACUGAAGACCAGAGGACAAUGCAAUAUUAAGUAAGAAAUAACACAUCCAGGAAGAGUCAUUCUCCUAACAGGUUACAUGGUCAUUAAUUAGUUCACUAAUCAUCAUGCUGUACUUCUUGAUGGGUUUUAAUAGUUUGGCUUGCAAGUGCAUUCUAAAAACCAAUAAAAACAAGUUUAUAUGUAUUGAUACUGUU